UUCAGCAGUCCAGAAUAUUAGUCAAUGCUCGAAAGAGUGAACUAGCUAACUGAAAUCAAUUAUAAUAAUUGAUAAGAUAAGGGAGAAUAAUGAUAUUACCUUAUUAUUAGUGUCGUCCAAAACUGGUGCCAGAAGACUCGGUAAGGCCAGAGACACAAACGUUAAUCGUCUUAAUCAGGCGUAAAGGGUUUGUAGGCGGCUUUUAAACGAUAAAAGCUAGAAUCAAAUAGAGGAUAUAUCAAAUAAUGCUUAGAGUAGGUCUGAUAUCCUUAGAUACUAAGUAGAAUAUUAAAGGCGAAAGCUUUUUUCCAAUAAUGAUUGACGCUCAGAAACGAAGGUGAGGAUAGGAAAUAGGAUUAGAUACCCAAAAUACCCCUCUCUGUCAACGAUGAAUGGUAGUUAUUAGUAAUAAAUUUUUAUUAAUGGCAAUGUUAACACGAUAACCAUUCCGCCUUGUGAGUACAACUGCAAAGUUGAAAACAAAAAAAUUAGUCGGUUUCGGAGCAAACGAAGUGAAGCAUGUUAUUUAAUUCGAUAAUCCGCAAA
rnacentral:rRNA from 1 species